GGAGGGUUGUCCGAGCUGGCCGAAGGAGCGCGACUGGAAAUCGCGUAUGCCCUGAAAGGGGCAUCGUGGGUUCAAAUCCCAUGCCCUCCGCCA
rnacentral:tRNA from 1 species